CCUACGGGAGGCAGCAGUGAGGAAUAUUGGUCAAUGGCCGAGAGACUGAACCAGCCAAGUCGCGUGAGGGAAGACGGCCCUACGGGUUGUAAACUUCUUUUGUCGGGGAGCAAAGCGAGUCACGUGUGACGCAUUGAGAGUACCCGAUGAAAAAGCAUCGGCUAACUCCGUGCCAGCAGCCGCGGUAAUACGGAGGAUGCGAGCGUUAUCCGGAUUUAUUGGGUUUAAAGGGUGCGCAGGCGGAGGUUAAAGUGAGCGGUAAAAUUGCGGGGCUCAACCCCGUACUGCCGCUGAAACUGGAUCCCUUGAGUGCGCGAGACGUAUGCGGAAUGCGUGGUGUAGCGGUGAAAUGCAUAGAUAUCACGAAGAACUCCGAUUGCGAAGGCAGCAUACCGGAGCGCAACUGACGCUGAUGCACGAAAGCGUGGGUAUCGAACAGGAUUAGAUACCCCUGUAGUC
rnacentral:rRNA from 1 species